GGAUAACAGUGGGAACUCAGCAGUGAUAUCAGUCAUCAUUACACUGCAUAAUGAAUACAAGUGCAAGAGAAAUCAGGGUGAGCAGUUAAAUCCAGACAAGGGGAAUGUAUUUGUGGUUUGAACUGUCUGGUUCACUGGGUGUGAUGGGCUGCAUCAUUAACGAGUCUGGAAUCGACGCAUCGAGAACCAACAGGUUUCUUGUGCCAAGCGAUGUGUGGUGUCAUCUAAUGCCAGCAAGUUCAAGGAGAAGGUGGACCAGAUCUGCUCGUGUGGUGAACUGAAGGACGGAGGUUGAGCAGAUGUGCACUCCUGUAGCUAAUAAAGUGGCCACUGAGUGUAUGUUCAUGUUCUUCUGCUGUAGCCCAUCCACUUCAAGGUUCAAAGUGUUGUGCAAUUAGAGACGCUCUUCUGCACACCACUGUUUAUAUUGGUUUAUUAUUGUCACAUGUAUAGUGAAAACUUAGUUUUGCAGGCCAUCCGGACAGAUUACUUCAAAACGUUAAGUACAUUGAUGUGAUACAAGGGAAGCACAACUGCAGAAUGCAGAACAUCGUGUUGGGGUUACAGUUCCAGAGGAAGUACAGUGUCCAUAGACAGUAAAGUCCACAACAAGGUGAAUUGUGAGGAUGAAAGUUCAUCCUUAACAUACAAAAAUGAGGACCAGGUGCUAACAGCGAGGGCUAGUUCCGUCUGUCAAAUUAAGGCGUACUGAGUAUAAUAAAACAUUGGAAGUCAGCUUACAUAUGGAAAAGUAACUACAACAGACAAACAGAGAUACCACACUUCAAGUGUAAAAGCAGCACUCUUAGUUAUAAGGUACAAUAUGUUUGUCCACAUCCUUAAACUUGCACCUCAAUAUCUGACAGCUGGAUCCAGUUGCUCUAACCCCAACACCAACACCGCUUCUUUCCUGCAACCAGCAAGAUUUUGAACUGACCUCCGCAGCCCUGAUCUUCCAUCAGCAAUGAAACAUGGCAAACCAGCCCCUGGACUACCAUCGACUUGACUCUGAUUGUGCUUUUUUUUUUGCAAUUAUGUCAUGCUUUGUUCCAUCAUUAGCUUUUCUUUGAUUCUGUUCUAAAACGUGCAGCGGGAGGAGAAGAUGGCAGCACCCCGCGCGUGCGCAGCUCUCCAGUGAAAAAUGAUAUCGCAUCUGUUAAAUAGGGGCCGUGGACAAUUCUGAUUUGAUGGAGAAUGGACGUGAAGCACACAGGAACAUCUGGAGAAAUUUCUGAAACACCUGUUCGCUGCUGUCGUUACUGUGUGGUCGGGAAUCUUUCGGAGGGUAGGCCUCAAAAUCCCCGGCCUUGCCUGCUUUUGGCGACCGAGAAGGAGGUCGAAUCGUUCGGCAGAGAUGCUGCUCAGUACUCGGUGUCGGAGAGCUGAUCAGAGCUCGAAGUUUUCAGAUGACUCAGAGUCGGAUUGUGGUCGGCAUGGCAGGGAGAGUUUUUCUUCCUUCUCCCGUCUGCGUGAGAUGUGGGACAUUUGAGAAACUUUGAACUUUACUGUGCUCACGGACUUCUUCAUCAAGUUAUGGUAUUGUUACACUGUUUGUAACUAUAUGUUAUAAUUAUGUGGUUUUGUCAGUUUUUUCAGUCUUGGUCUGUCCUGUGUUUUGUGAUAUCACACCGGAGGAAAUAAUGUAUCAUUUCUUAAUGCGUGCAUUACUAAAUGACAAUAAAAGAGGACUGCGUGUCUUCAUAAUGAUAUUUCUUUGUUCUACUGUGAAUGCCUGCAAGAAAACAAAUCUCAGGAUAGUAUAUGUGGUGACAUAGUAGUGCAAUCACUUGAGGUCAAUACGAUAUUCUUCUAAGGAGUUGUCUAUUGGUGAAUGCUCAGGUAGCUAUAAAGGCCAAUCCAGGGCACAUCAGCAGGCAAAAUAAAAGCCUAUUUUCUCCUUACAGCUCUGUACUUUUGGGAUGCGAUAACAUUUGCUCAGUUUCCUGUUGAUAUUGGCCUACGAGGAAGUCGGAAUCAGGCUGGAGAGAAUCACUACAAGAAAUGGUGGUGACAUAUAUGUACUUUAAACUUUGAACUUUUGUCUUGUGUACUUUAUGCUUAAUUUAUAUUCUGUAAGUUGUCUGUACCUACAUACAUGUGAUGCUGCUGCAAGCUAGUUUUUCAUUGUGCCUAUACCUCAACAUACUUGAGCAUAACUUAAUUGACUUCAUCUGGUUAGAUCAGUGACCAAAUAUAGUGAGGUCAAUUUAGUCACGUACAUUCCAGGCUGAGAUAGAGCUGUGCCAUUGCACUGCAGCUAAUCAAUCUGUCCAUCUAUUUAUGUUUGUACAGUACUGUGCAAAAGGGUUAGGCACAUAUACACAGCUAGGAAACUGAAGACUUUUGCACAGUACUGUAGUAAUUUUAUGUUUUGCACUGUACUGCUGCUGCAAAAGAACCAAGUUUUGUGACAUGCAAUAUACGAGUGGUGAUAAAUCUGAUUCUGAUAUGGGUCUUUAUUGUGGACUGAGAGUGGGAAGGGG